GAGGGUAUAGCUCAGUGGUAGAGUAUGUGCUUAGCAUGCAUGAAGUCCUGGGUUCAAUCCCCUGUAUCUCCA
rnacentral:tRNA from 1 species